rnacentral:rRNA from 1 species
GGUGCGUAGGCGGUCUGAUAAGUCAUCUGUGAAAUCUGUGGGCUCAACCCAUAGUCUGCAUGCGAAACUGUCUGGCUUGAGUAUGGGAGAGGUGAGUGGAAUUUCCGGUGUAGCGGUGAAAUGCGUAGAUAUCGAAAGGAACACCUGUGGCGAAAGCGGCUCACUGGACCAUUACUGAUCUGAUGCACUAAAGCUAGGGGAGCAAACAAGAUUACAUACCCUGGUAGUCCUAGCCCUAAAGGAUGAUUGCUUGAUGUGGGGGGUACCCAAUCCUCCCGUGACGAACCUAACGCUAUAACCAAUCCGCCUGGGGAGUACCGGCGCGGGGAUGAAACUCACAGGAAUUGACCGGGGCCCGCACAACCGGUGGAGCAUGUGGUUUAAUUCGACCCAACGCGAAUAACCUUACCUGGGCUCCAAAUGUACAGGAAUCCGGUACAAAUAUUCGCGUCCCGCACGGGACCUGUAUAUAGGUGCUGCAUGGCUGUCGUCUCCUCGUGUCGUGAGAAGUUGGGUUAAGUCCCGCAACGAGCGCAACCCUUAUCUCCAGUUGCUACCAUUUAGUUGAGCACUCCGGCGAAACCGCCUCGGAUAACGGGGAGGAAGGUGGGGAUGAC